AAAAGAAAGAAAGGUGAGAGAGGAGAAUGGGAAAGUUAUCAGGCCUACUUUUGGAUUUGUAGUUUACAAAAAGAAGAAAAGUGAGAGACCAAAGGAGUAAAUCAUUUUCUCAUUUACUUUCAACAAGCAACCAACAGAGAGACUGUAGCAUGAUGAUGAUGAUGAUGAUGAUGAUAAAUAUAAAAGGUGAAGGGGAUAAUAUGUAUUUAACAUAAGUAGGAGCAUGAGUAGGAGAGGAUCAGAUUUGAUGGGGAAAAGGUGACAAAUGAUGUUCUGGCAUUUCCAACUGUGACAGCUGAAAUGAUUUGUCGUCUCUUUUUGUUUCAGCCCAACUCCCUCCACAAUCUCCUGACACAGCUCUGAGCUCUCUGAGAGACUCAAUCCAGAGACCUGAUUAACACACACAUCCUGCACUGCUCCUGAAAACAG